CAUUAGUGUUGUUCUUCACUGGAAACGAAUGUGAAAAUGAAAGUGUUCCGUUUGAAUCACAAUUCUUUUGAAUCGGUCCUUUAUUCAACUCGGUUAGACUGGUUGGAGAACUAACCAAAACAAAAUAGUUUUCAGUGUUGCAUUUUCGCCGAUGUAUUUAUAUGUAGCAAUGCAUAGUUAUCGCUUGCCUUCUGGGAACACCUGUGUGAUGACUCACACGAAUCACUGAAUCGGUUUAUUGAAGUUUUGAAGAGUCGAUUCUUCCAGCGCGCUGUGUGAACCCGCAAGCUUCGAUACCUUUAAAGCUAGAAGGGGUGCAUUUCUUCGUAAACACACACUGAUGAGUCCAGUUGAGUUCAGCUUAUACCGGAAGUUCUAGUCCUGGUUUGUUUUCUUAGACGAGUCAGUAAACAGGUUGAUUCACCUUCAGAGUAAACAGUGAGAAGAUAUUACUUUACAGACGUAAAAGAUGACCCAAAACGGGUUCGGAGGACCGGAUAAGAUGCCACUGUACAGUAAAGUGGUGUCUUCUGGACUACCACCAUCAUUCAAUACGCCGCUAAACACUGACCUGUUGAAGCUGAAGCAAGCACUUCGUGAACUGAUGGCCAGUCAUUCUAAAGGUGUCUCUUUGACUAAAGCAUGCAGGUUUUGCCCACUCCUCUUUGAACCAAAUGUGCUGAACAAAUAUGCCUCUGUCCGGCA